GACGAACGCUGGCGGCGUGCUUAACACAUGCAAGUCGAACGGAAAGGCCCUGCUUUUGUGGGGUGCUCGAGUGGCGAACGGGUGAGUAACACGUGAGUAACCUGCCCUUGACUUUGGGAUAACUUCAGGAAACUGGGGCUAAUACCGGAUAGGAGCUCCUGCUGCAUGGUGGGGGUUGGAAAGUUUCGGCGGUUGGGGAUGGACUCGCGGCUUAUCAGCUUGUUGGUGGGGUAGUGGCUUACCAAGGCUUUGACGGGUAGCCGGCCUGAGAGGGUGACCGGCCACAUUGGGACUGAGAUACGGCCCAGACUCCUACGGGAGGCAGCAGUGGGGAAUAUUGCACAAUGGGCGGAAGCCUGAUGCAGCAACGCCGCGUGCGGGAUGACGGUCUUCGGGUUGUAACCCGCUUUCGCCUGUGACGAAGCGUGAGUGACGGUAAUGGGUAAAGAAGCACCGGCUAACUACGUG
rnacentral:rRNA from 1 species